rnacentral:rRNA from 1 species
AUUGAACGCUGGCGGCAUGCCUUGCACAUGCCAGUCGAACGGUAACGGGCCUUCGGGUGCCGACGAGUGGCGAACGGGUGAGUAAUACAUCGGAACGUGCCCGAUCGUGGGGGAUAACGAGGCGAAAGCUUUGCUAAUACCGCAUACGAUCUACGGAUGAAAGCAGGGGACCGCAAGGCCUUGCGCGGACGGAGCGGCCGAUGGCAGAUUAGGUAGUUGGUGGGAUAAAAGCUUACCAAGCCGACGAUCUGUAGCUGGUCUGAGAGGAUGAUCAGCCACACUGGGACUGAGACACGGCCCAGACUCCUACGGGAGGCAGCAGUGGGGAAUUUUGGACAAUGGGCGCAAGCCUGAUCCAGCCAUGCCGCGUGCAGGAUGAAGGCCUUCGGGUUGUAAACUGCUUUUGUACGGAACGAAAAGCCUUCUUUUAAUACAGGAGGGUCAUGACGGUACCGUAAGAAUAAGCACCGGCUAACUACGUG